GUUGAUGGCUAUGCCACCCUGAACACUCCUGAUCCCCUCUGAUCUCAGAAGCUAAGCAGGGUCGGGCCUGGUUAGUAGUUGGAUAGGAGACCACCUAGGAAGACCAGGUGCUGUAGGCG
rnacentral:rRNA from 1 species